GAAAUAUAAACUUAUAUUUAUAACUUAUAAUGUAACACAUUACAGAAAGCCUAGAGGCCUUCAAAUAAAGAAGCCCAUGGUGUAAACACAAAACUAGCCGAAGACAACCCCAAUCCAUACAAAUAUAACCCAGCAGAAACCCUAAAAGGGGUGGCUGCAACCCAACUGAUGACCCAGAUGAGCUAAGCAUAAGCGCCACAUGGAGGAUCAGCCUCUACCAAAAUCUUCACCUUCAUUGGAAGUCUUUCACCUCCAGCCAUAUUAACGGGAACGAGAAACAAACAUGCUAAGCUGAGACAUAAGCCACUUGAAGCGUAAGACCAUAACAACACUAAAUCAUAAGAACUCGGGGUAGAAGAAAAUGAGGAGAAGAGGGAGAACUCUGAUGGCAUCUCAAUCUCCUUUAGCCAGAGGGGGCAACCACAGUCUUAGAUGGACAACUAGCAAUAUAACCCACAGAAACCCCCUUCCCCAGAACUUAGCCAUUAAAGCACAACCCCCAAGUCCAGUAAAUCUCACAUACGAAGAAACCAUAGAAAUUCAAAUCGGCAACCAAACCAGGUAGAGGACAUCGACAAUGGGUUCUUUGGCGUCUCACUCACGCUUUCCGAGCUGACCCCCUAGAUCGCACCUCAAUCCUAAACCUGAGAGAAAGAAAGAAAACAAACAAAAAGAA
rnacentral:misc_RNA from 1 species